rnacentral:rRNA from 1 species
GUGAGGAAUUUUCCGCAAUGGGCGAAAGCCUGACGGAGCAAUGCCGCGUGAAGGAUGAAGGCCUAUGGGUUGUAAACUUCUUUUCUCAGAAAAGAAUUAUGACGGUAUCUGAGGAAUAAGCAUCGGCUAACUCUGUGCCAGCAGCCGCGGUAAGACAGAGGAUGCACGCGUUAUCCGGAAUGAUUGGGCGCAAAGCGUCUGUAGGUUGUUUAAAAAGUAUUCUGUCAAAGAUUAGGGCUUAACCUUAGAUAGGCAGAAUAAACUUUUAAGCUAGAGUUUGGUAGAGGCAGAGGGAAUUACCGGUGGAGCGGUGAAAUGCGUAGAUAUCGGGAGGAACAACAAAGGCGGAGGCACUCUGCUGGGCGAAUACUAACACUGAGAGACGAAAGCGAGGGGAGCAAAUGGGAUUAGAUACCCCGGUAGUCC